rnacentral:lncRNA from 1 species
CUGGUUGUUGGGUUGCUGCCCUCCAAAUGGUAAUUUUUAAAGAAAUUUUGCCGUUUUUGGUUAUCUUGAAUACUAUUAUAGAUAGCGAUAAACUGUAAACAGCAAUAAUGUUCAGCAAAGUAAGAUCUACAAAUAAGUCAACAUGACCUUAAUGGUCAAUUGACCCCUUAAGGAGUUAUUGCCCUUUAUAGUCAAUUUUUAACAAUUUUCAUUAAUUUGGUAAAUUUAUGUAAAUUUUUACCAAAUAUAGUUCUCUGUUACUAAUGGGCAAAGUUCAUUAUAGAUAAUAUUGUAAGAAGCAAAAUCGUUCAGAAAGUAAGAACUUCAAACACAUCACCAUCACCAAAAUACAAUUUUGUCAUGAAUCCAUUUGUGUCCUUUGUUUAAUAUGCUCAUAGACCAAGGUGAGCGACACAGGCUCUUUAGAGCCUCUAGUUGUUAC